AGAGUUUGAUCCUGGCUCAGAUUGAACGCUGGCGGCAUGCCUUACACAUGCAAGUCGAACGGCAGCACGGGAGCUUGCUCCUGGUGGCGAGUGGCGAACGGGUGAGUAAUAUAUCGGAACGUACCCUAGAGUGGGGGAUAACGCAGCGAAAGUUGCGCUAAUACCGCAUACGAUCUACGGAUGAAAGUGGGGGAUCGCAAGACCUCAUGCUCAUGGAGCGGCCGAUAUCUGAUUAGCUAGUUGGUGGGGUAAAGGCCUACCAAGGCAUCGAUCAGUAGCUGGUCUGAGAGGACGACCAGCCACACUGGAACUGAGACACGGUCCAGACUCCUACGGGAGGCAGCAGUGGGGAAUUUUGGACAAUGGGGGCAACCCUGAUCCAGCAAUGCCGCGUGAGUGAAGAAGGCCUUCGGGUUGUAAAGCUCUUUUGUCAGGGAAGAAACGGUGAGGGCUAAUAUCCUUUGCUAAUGACGGUACCUGAAGAAUAAGCACCGGCUAACUACGUGCCAGCAGCCGCGGUAAUACGUAGGGUGCAAGCGUUAAUCGGAAUUACUGGGCGUAAAGCGUGCGCAGGCGGUUAUGUAAGUCAGAUGUGAAAUCCCCGGGCUCAACCUGGGAAUGGCAUUUGAGACUGCAUGGCUAGAGUGUGUCAGAGGGGGGUAGAAUUCCACGUGUAGCAGUGAAAUGCGUAGAGAUGUGGAGGAAUACCGAUGGCGAAGGCAGCCCCCUGGGAUAACACUGACGCUCAUGCACGAAAGCGUGGGGAGCAAACAGGAUUAGAUCCCCUGGUAGUCCACGCCCUAAACGAUGUUUACUAGUUGUCGGGACUUAAUUGUCUUGGUAACGCAGCUAACGCGUGAAGUAGACCGCCUGGGGAGUACGGUCGCAAGAUUAAAACUCAAAGGAAUUGACGGGGACCCGCACAAGCGGUGGAUGAUGUGGAUUAAUUCGAUGCAACGCGAAAAACCUUACCUACCCUUGACAUGUACGGAACCUCUGAGAGAUUAGAGGGUGCUCGAAAGAGAGCCGUAACACAGGUGCUGCAUGGCUGUCGUCAGCUCGUGUCGUGAGAUGUUGGGUUAAGUCCCGCAACGAGCGCAACCCUUGUCAUUAGUUGCUACGAAAGGGCACUCUAAUGAGACUGCCGGUGACAAACCGGAGGAAGGUGGGGAUGACGUCAAGUCCUCAUGGCCCUUAUGGGUAGGGCUUCACACGUCAUACAAUGGUACAUACAGAGGGCCGCCAACCCGCGAGGGGGAGCUAAUCCCAGAAAGUGUAUCGUAGUCCGGAUUGUAGUCUGCAACUCGACUACAUGAAGUUGGAAUCGCUAGUAAUCGCGGAUCAGCAUGUCGCGGUGAAUACGUUCCCGGGUCUUGUAAUCACCGCCCGUCA
rnacentral:rRNA from 1 species